GUAAUACCCUGCUAGCCCAAAAAA
rnacentral:siRNA from 1 species